AGUGUCGAAAAUUAUUUUGUUUUUAUGAUUACCAAUUAAUGGUUUUUCAUUACUGGAAUUAAUGUUCAAAAAGUUUUACAUUUUCUCACGAGGGUUAUUAUGUUUUACAAAAUGUGAUGAAAAUUACAAUAUUAUCGAACUUGCAAGUUUUAGUACCGAUUGAAGAUUGUUCUAUGUGAACUAUUAUCAUGUUUUAAUUAUAUUUUAGAAUUUGUAUUAGGAAUAUUUUUUUACAAAAAAUCAAAACUGAAUUAUUUUUAAGUGUUUUAUUAUGAAUUAUAAUUAAUGUAUAAUUAAUAAAAGGGUGGCAUUACUAACAUAAUUGCAUCAGGGAAGCAUUUUUAUUAAUGUAAUUAUUUAUAUUUUUUAGUUAAUUAAUUUUUUUGUUGAUUUUUUAUAAAAUAAUGAUUUUUAAAUUAAUAUACAUUAAAAAGAAAAAAUGCGAAUUAAAUAGAUGUAUUUCAUUUAUACUUACCUAAUAAUUAGUUAUUAAAAGGAGAAAUUAUUUCUUCUUUUUUUUUAUCUUGGCGUGAUACUGUCGAUAUGAGCAAGCGUGAAAUGAUUAAUCUAGUUAGACCUAAAAUGGCUUUUAUUUUAAAAAUAAAGUGUAAUUAAUGUUUCAUUAGUGAUAAUUAAAAUUUAUUUAUUGAACACAAAAUACUUUGACUUUCUUCUAUAUUAUUUGAUAUAUAUCACUAAUUUUAGUUAUAUAUAUAUAUGUUUUUUGACAACUCUUGAAUUUAUCUUUUGAUUGGUGCUAUGUUUUAUGACAGAUUAACUAUUUGUUCAUAACAUCUAAAUUUAAUUAGAGUAUUGAAUCAGAAUAAAAGUUACUCUUAAUAACUAUUAUAGUAUAAAUUUCAUAAAAUAAUUUUUAUGUCUUUAAAGCAUAAUGUUGUUGUCAACGUUUUAUGUUUUCAAUUAUUUAAUAAGGUAGUUAAUUGUGCUAAUAAACUCAUAUUAGUUGAAAGAUGGCGUGCUCAGUAAUACAAACAUUUGUCAAAUGUGCUUAUUUUUAAGUUUAAAUCAAGUUAGGAAAUAAUGAUAAUAUAACUAUUGAUGAGGAAAGUAUUUAAGAUAUUGUUUAAUUGAUGAUUUUUUUUUUUUGUAGAUUUUCAAGGUAAAUUUUUAUGUCCAAGAAAAUGCGGUAGGAGUUACAAAUGGAAAUGUAGUUUAAAAACACAUUUAAGAUACGAAUGCGGAGUUCCAAAACAAUUCAUGUGUUCGUUGUGUGAAAAGUUAUUUGCCCAUAAAAAACUACUUAGAGCUCAUUCAGCAGUUAUUCACAACAUUUUCCCUAAUUAAAUUUUUACAACUUAUAAGUAAAAAUUAUUUUACAAGAUAUUAUUUAAGUCUAUAUUUAAAAAUAAAUUGAUGUAUUAAGACUAAUAAAUGCAAAAAUUGUACACGUAUUUCUGUUUGUUAUUUUUACAUUUUUACAAACAAUUGUUUGAAGGAAUUGAUAAUACAAAAUUAAUUUUGUAACCAACUUUGUAUUUUAUGAAUAUUUGAAUUUUCGGAAUAAUUAAUCAUUUUUAAACUUAUAUAUCAUAUUUUAUAAUUAUGAUAUUCUUACAUAAUUGUUUAUUUAUCAAAAAUUUAUCAAUAUCUUACCUUCUUUAUUUAUUAAAGAAAUUUGUAUAAAAUAAUUUAACUGUAAUAAAUAGAAGAAAAGUUGGAGUUAUGUAAUUUAUUUAUUAACAUAAUAAUAAUAAACUCAUUAGAGUUCAAUUACAUGUGAAUUUUUUUUCAUAUUUAACUCAAUAAAUUAAACCAUCUUCAUCAUCGUCAUCUAUUAAAGGCUUUGCCUUGUCGUUGAAGCCACUCCUCUCUGUUGGACGAUCAAUUUUUCAUUGAAACAAAAGACACAUAGUUCAUGAGUUCACGGAUAUAUUCAAAGUAUUGUUUCCUUGGGCAUCUUCUGGUUUCUUCCCAGUUAUUUUUCUUUCGAAGAUGUCAAUAAUAAAAUCAUUGUGUCGGAUUUUGUGUUCGAUUAACUUAAUUUUUCUUGAUUCAAUCACCUUCAUCAGAUGGCUUUCUUCUCCUACUUCUUCUAGCACUGAUUCAAAUAUUUUCUUGUUUAUCCAUUUUGUCUUUUUCAUUUUUUCCAUAUCUAUAACUUUAAUGCUUCUAGUUUGCUUCUUGUCAAUUGUUCAUGUUUCACUACCAUAUGAAAGUACACUCCAGACAAAUGUUUUAACUAAACUUUUAUGUAUGCCAAUACUCAGAUGUUUAUUGGCGAGAAGCUGAUUUUUGUUCUGGAAUGUUUGUUUUGCCAAUGCUAUUCUCUUCUGAUGUCUGGUAUUGAUUUAUUGAACUAUUUUAAGGGCGGAUAAAAAUUAAGAAUUAUAUUUAAGAUUAUAAUGACUUUGAUUUAUAAAAAAAUAGUUAUUAAUAAAUUCUAAUAAUUAUUACUUUUACUCAGUUGAAUAAAAUUAAAAUGUAUGUUUACUAGGAUCAAAGGAAAUUCAGGAUGUUAAAUUUUGUGGACUAGAAAUCGUGGUCGAAGUUAUAAAAGAAAAGAUCAUUUAGAUGCUCAUUUGAAAUUUGAGUGUGGUGUGUCCAGAAUGUUUCAAUGUUCUUAUUGUCUUAAACUAUUUGAUUUGAUGGAAGAUAUUUUUGUCUAAAUAAUUGUGGAAAUAGUUAUGUCCAUAAAACUGACAUGUAUAGACAUUUAAGGUACAAGUGUGGUGUAAAACCAAGAUUUCAAUGUGUAGAUUGUAAUAAAUGUUUCGUUUACAAAAAAAAUUACUGUUAUCAUAUGGCAAAUCACCAUAAGAUAUUCGUUAUAUAAUAAUUGUUUUGAAUUAAGAGAUGGGCAUGUAAUAACUGCAAUCGAAGGUACAAAAACAAAUCCCAUUUACAACGUCACAUCAAGUAUGAAUGUGGGGUAUCUGCUAUGUUU